rnacentral:rRNA from 1 species
AGUGAACGCUGGCGGUAGGCCUAACACAUGCAAGUCGAACGGCAGCACAGUAAGAGCUUGCUCUUACGGGUGGCGAGUGGCGGACGGGUGAGGAAUACAGCGGAAUCUACUUUUUCGUGGGGGAUAACGUAGGGAAACUUACGCUAAUACCGCAUACGACCUACGGGUGAAAGCAGGGGAUCUUCGGACCUUGCGCGAUUGAAUGAGCCGAUGUCGGAUUAGCUAGUUGGCGGGGUAGAGGCCCACCAAGGCGACGAUCCGUAGCUGGUCUGAGAGGAUGAUCAGCCACACUGGAACUGAGACACGGUCCAGACUCCUACGGGAGGCAGCAGUGGGGAAUAUUGGACAAUGGGCGCAAGCCUGAUCCAGCCAUACCGCGUGAGUGAAGAAGGCCUUCGGGUUGUAAAGCCCUUUUGUUGGGAAAGAAAAGCAGCAGGUUAAUACCCCGCUGUUCUGACGGUACCCAAAGAAUAGGCACCGGCUAACUUCGUG